UGUCAAGAUGUCAGCUUUCCCAACCUGGUCUUGGGAUUCAACACAAUACCAAUCUUGGAAAAGGAAUUGCUGGAUUUGAAUAUUUGAUCCAUCUGGAUUUUAUUUCCGUGUUAAGCAGUAAGGGAGGGAGCCAACUUCCAUUUUUCCAAACGGCCGGCCAGUCGUCCUAACGCCAUUCGAUUGAGAAAGACUGAAAACCCUUUCCAGGGGUUUGAAGCGGUCGCUCCACCAGCACGCUCAAUCGCGCAUCUGCCCGGGCCCGCGAUCCAGGGGCCCCGCGCCGCCAGGUUUCCGGGGCCCAUCGGUCCAGCCCGAUCCAGUCGGAGGGAGCGAAUAGCAGGGGCGAAGAGCAGGGGCUGGGGCGGAUACUCCUCUCCUGCUGAGAACGGAUCCCUCUCCUACCCGCCAAGGACCCACCACUAACAUCCCCCUCCCCCCCACGCGCCGAGGACGGAUCCCCUGAUACCCCCACCUCGAUCUCCCCUCUUAGCCUCCGAGGACGAAGCCCCCAAGCCCGCGCCGAGGUUUCCCUAACCGCCCGCCUCCUCCCUCCCAGCUCCUGCCCGCACCCCUUUUACCCCACCCCCCUACCCCCCACCCCAGUCUCUCCUCCCGGGUGGUCCCAACGAUGGGACGGGACUUUCCGCGAGGGUAAUUUAAAUAAAAGGUGUGUGCUCUGGUUCUA